GGAUGUGCCUGCCUUGUGGCUUGCCCGAUUUGCACGGUGACUUGAUUACACGCUCGCAUUCAUGGUCACUUCCGAAGCGCUUUAGUGCCUUCCGUCCCUAAACCGCCAACCACCAGGGCGACUUCCCCCCGCGGUUUCUCAGGCAUCUGCAGGUCCCGGAAGGGCCUUCGUCUUACCCGGGAUCCAC
rnacentral:lncRNA from 1 species